rnacentral:rRNA from 1 species
GCUAGCUACAGGCUUAACACAUGCAAGUCGAGGGGCAGCAUGGUCUUAGCUUGCUAAGGCCGAUGGCGACCGGCGCACGGGUGAGUAACACGUAUCCAACCUGCCGUCUACUCUUGGACAGCCUUCUGAAAGGAAGAUUAAUACAAGAUGGCAUCAUGAGUCCGCAUGUUCACAUGAUUAAAGGUAUUCCGGUAGACGAUGGGGAUGCGUUCCAUUAGAUAGUAGGCGGGGUAACGGCCCACCUAGUCUUCGAUGGAUAGGGGUUCUGAGAGGAAGGUCCCCCACAUUGGAACUGAGACACGGUCCAAACUCCUACGGGAGGCAGCAGUGAGGAAUAUUGGUCAAUGGGCGAGAGCCUGAACCAGCCAAGUAGCGUGAAGGAUGACUGCCCUAUGGGUUGUAAACUUCUUUUAUAAAGGAAUAAAGUCGGGUAUGGAUACCCGUUUGCAUGUACUUUAUGAAUAAGGAUCGGCUAACUCCGUGCCAGCAGCCGCGGUAAUACGGAGGAUCCGAGCGUUAUCCGGAUUUAUUGGGUUUAAAGGGAGCGUAGAUGGAUGUUUAAGUCAGUUGUGAAAGUUUGCGGCUCAACCGUAAAAUUGCAGUUGAUACUGGAUAUCUUGAGUGCAGUUGAGGCAGGCGGAAUUCGUGGUGUAGCGGUGAAAUGCUUAGAUAUCACGAAGAACUCCGAUUGCGAAGGCAGCCUGCUAAGCUGCAACUGACAUUGAGGCUCGAAAGUGUGGGUAUCAAACAGGAUUAGAUACCCUGGUAGUCCACACGGUAAACGAUGAAUACUCGCUGUUUGCGAUAUACGGCAAGCGGCCAAGCGAAAGCGUUAAGUAUUCCACCUGGGGAGUACGCCGGCAACGGUGAAACUCAAAGGAAUUGACGGGGGCCCGCACAAGCGGAGGAACAUGUGGUUUAAUUCGAUGAUACGCGAGGAACCUUACCCGGGCUUAAAUUGCAGAUGAAUUACGGUGAAAGCCGUAAGCCGCAAGGCAUCUGUGAAGGUGCUGCAUGGUUGUCGUCAGCUCGUGCCGUGAGGUGUCGGCUUAAGUGCCAUAACGAGCGCAACCCUUGUUGUCAGUUACUAACAGGUUCCGCUGAGGACUCUGACAAGACUGCCAUCGUAAGAUGUGAGGAAGGUGGGGAUGACGUCAAAUCAGCACGGCCCUUACGUCCGGGGCUACACACGUGUUACAAUGGGGGGUACAGAGGGCCGCUACCACGCGAGUGGAUGCCAAUCCCCAAAACCUCUCUCAGUUCGGACUGGAGUCUGCAACCCGACUCCACGAAGCUGGAUUCGCUAGUAAUCGCGCAUCAGCCACGGCGCGGUGAAUACGUUCCCGGGCCUUGUACACACCGCCCG